GCUCUCCGAGCGCGGUCCUUCCCCUCUCCCCGCCGCUGCCGCAGCUCUUCGACGCGUGCCCGCGCCUUCCAGCUCCCUGGCAGCGUCCCGAAGGAGCACCGCGUCUCGUGGCUGCUGGGUGUCACGGGGCAAAAAGUGCGGUUUGAUUGCCGGAAAAGGCUGACUACUAGAAUAGCAAAACCAGUCCGCCAUCCAGCAGUUGGGAAUCAAGGCCCUUCUUUACCAGAGCCCCAGCCACAUCCAUACUGUCACCCACCUUCCAGACACUCGGCACAACCAUUCACCCUAUUGAAUCAUGAGACUGUUUGAUCUUAUCUGCAUCUGUGAGCUGACUGUCAACCUGCUUACACUGCAUAUUAAAUCAUCUAUAGUAGCUGUAUCAAGCUGGGAUGAUCUGUUAAUUCUAAAUUUACUAACCCUUCGAGUGCAGUCGUUGUGUUUAAUCUAGUGUAGCCAGCAUUUAUUUUACAAGUCUAAAUCCUUCUUCAAGAUAUGUCUGUGCUGUAGGUUAAAAAAUCAUUAAUGUGUAGGAGAUGGUAAUUGGGAAGAGUUCACUUUGAUCUUUGGAAGCCAGUUGACAGCUUCACUGCUCCAAACACAUACGUGUGUGCUCUCACCACUCUCGCGUGCCCGGCGUGCUGGAUGUGUGCAUGCAUACGCACCUAAUGACACUUCCUUGCAGAAAGAGUUUUGCAUGAGACAAGGAAGAAGAGAGGCCUCAGACAAUGCCUUCAUUCCACGUCUCCAUGAAGACUUAUAAUCGAGAGGCAAAUUCCUGGUGCUGCAGCGCAGUGAGAGCAUGUGGCUGCAGGCAGAGCCCUGCGCCAGGAGGGCCAACAAACCUCCCUUCGAGGCAGCACCCAGCUUGAUGAAUGCCUGCAGCCAUUGCCAGCACCGGACAUCCCCACACACUGAGGACCACAGCCCCUGCCAGGCUUGAGAAAGGUCAAGUGCUGCUGUCCGCACCUCAACCAGCGUGCCCCCUCCUAGACACAGAUACAUACACAAAAAAUUGCAUGCAGAUAUGUACAUACAUCUAAAUAUGUUAAUCUGUUCACUGUACACACCCAUCUCUCCCUGUCCCACUCUCCUGUUAUCUAUUAUUCUUGCACGCUGCUGAUGGCAUCAACAUAUUCACAGCUUUUAUUUCAGUCACAAACUGGUAGGCAUGCUUCCUUUUUUGGUAAUCACAUGCCUGGUAUCUCUCUAAUGUAGCCUAAUAACAAUUUUAGCAUUCAGAUAAAAAGAUUUCAUUCUGUGAUUGCCUUUUCUAUUAGAUUUGAUUCUGAGAAGCCCCAGUGGGUGCCUCCGAGGCAGAGAUCUAUCUGUGAGGCUGCAACCGAUUCAAUAGCAGCCUGAGCUAACCUUGACCUUUCCCUAGACCCUACUCCAUCUGGUGCCAGCCUGGUCCCCCCCUUCUCCUCCUCCUUGCUUCACAGGCAGCAUUGAUCAAGACGAAAUCGAGCGGCUCUCUCCCUCGGAGGGCUGGGCAGUCACAGGAAGGACAGCACAUUUCACUAUAUGGAGACAACUGAGCUUCUUAUGCAAUCAUAUAUCUACAUAGAGGCUUCUGAUUUGAUAUUUCCUUCACUUCCUAAGGUUCUCCCCUCCCUCCCCCAGCAGGGAUUUAUAAACUAUAAGACAACCGCUUUCCCCAACACCUGGAAAUUAUAAAGCUGGCUGUUGGGAACGCAUCCUGGCGAUUUGAUCUGAUUUACUUGGCUUCUUAUUUAUUUCCUUGCAGCUCGCUCCAUCUUUUUCCUGCGUCCGUGGUUCUGUAUCUCUGUCUCUUCUUUCUGUUAUUUUCCCCUGUUCGGCGGCGGCCUUUAUUCAUCUCCUCGGGGAUGCCGGGUGCCGCUGUGGGUAGGCUGGAGGGGCCAGCUGGUGGCUGGCCGGCUCGGGAGGACCGGCUCCCUCCGAACCCCGGCACCGACUGUCGGCUCUCUCGGCCGCGUUUCUCUGUCUGGAAAUGAGAAGAGGCUCCCGCGAUCAAUCGGCACUCAGCACUUCGUGCUUCGUGUUCUUCCCCUCUUCUCCGCUCUGCCGCUGCACCUGGCCCCCAGCACUGCCUGGCCCCCAGAGCUCAAGCGGAAUUGCGCCGUGCCCCACGGCCCCGCACCGCCCCACGGCCCCGCGCAGCCCCGCGCCGCUCGCCGAGGCGUUCCGACGCGCUCCCGCCCCCGUUCCCUCUUCGGCAGCAGCCGCGCUGGGGUUCGCCUCGCGGACAACCGCCGCGUCCGCGCUCUCAUCUCCUCUCAUCUCCGUGUGGGUUCCUUAAUUGCCAGGACGUUCGUUUACAAUCCGCGAUCUGCUUUUUCUUCCCAAGAAUUGUAGCAUGACCGCGUUUUCUCAUCUCACACCAGUCUUCAGAUUAUAUAACAGAUGAUGCAAAAUUAUAAUGACGAUCUAAUCUAUGCACACUGUAAUUAUAGAGUUUCCUGCACACACACAGCUCUUGCAGUAUCUGCAGAGCUGACAACUGGCUGUAGAUGCAGAGUACAAAAGAUAGAGACUGAUAUUUGGACCCACAUAUGUUUAAGAGAGAGAUAUUACUUAAUGGGAGAAGGGAUCUGGAAAUGCAUUUCUCUUUCUUCUGAGGAAUUUGUUUUGCUUUAUCUCCAUCGGUUGUAAUAGGAAGAAACUGUGAAUUACGCUGAAAAAAAAAAAAGACAUAUACUCAAUUUAUCAGUUUACUAUUACAUUUCCUAUCUCCAGUGUUACAAAGAUUUAGAACAUUUCCAAAACUUUUGGAUCUAAUCUGUGUUUUGUGCAGCCUACAGUUUGUUUGCAGGACCUGCCACCACACGCCAGCCAAAAAUGAGUGUCAAUUAAUAACAAAAAACUCCCUUCCUUCCUUAUUUCUGCACUCUCAUACCUUAACGGAUAAAACUACUGAUGGUGAGAAUUUUCCAUUACCAACAGUUUUUAUUCUAAAGCACCAAAGCUUCCCCACAUAGAGCUGCUGAAUAUUUCCUUGCUUUUCCCAGUGGCAAUUUACGCACACCACUGCUCAUUUGAAAUAUAAAGAAUAUUCAGCACUUUCAGGAGUGUUUUUUCUGCUACCCAGAUCAGCCAGUAGAACCAAUUGCAAAUCCAGUGACUGCACUGUGCUGUUUGUGGCGUUCCAAAUUAGAAAUCAUUUGAAACCAGAAGUAGGAGGGUUUGUUGGUUUUGUCUUUUUUUUUUCUACUGUUUUCUACAACGUCAGAAGUAACUGAAAAAACAUUCACCCUUGUGACACAACAGAAUUUAUGAGCUCUUUUCUUUCUGAGCUACCUGAGCAGUCCUGUCAUCCCUGCAGAAAUGCCCAUGUGUGGGUUGCUGUUUAAAACCGUAUUCUACUUAUCAAUAAAAUGUGAAAUGGCUU
ensembl:lncRNA